AAAUGGGUGUGCCGGAAUUACCAAGUUAAGGUGGUUCUCCAAUGAGGGAUUGAGGCAUUUUUCCGGUCAAGUGGCGGCGCCGACGGAAUUGCCGCCGUUCGACUACCAACCAAAGCCGUAUAAAGGGCCUUUGGCUGAUGCAGUGUUGGAGAAAAGAAGAAAGUUUUUGGGUCCUUCACUCUUCUAUUUCUACGAAAAACCUCUAAAUAUUGUUGAAGGGAAGAUGCAAUAUUUGUAUGAUGAGAAUGGAAAACGUUAUCUCGAUGCUUUUGCUGGAAUAGUUACUGUCUCAUGUGGUCAUUGUCAUCCUGAAGUGUUGAAUGCCAUCAUUGAGCAAAGCAAGCUUCUUCAACAUGCUACAACCAUUUAUC
rnacentral:misc_RNA from 1 species